ACCAGACAGUCCGUUGUGGGCCUUGGCCCAGGCGGACAUAGCAGAAUGGAUCGAGUCCGUAUACAAACUUCACGUCAGCUAAAACAGAAUAAGAGAAAAGCGCUUAUUCAGAGAAGUUCUUAUGACGCAAUUGGAUUCUUGGAUUCCGGCGCCGUCAACAACCGCGUUCACCAGUGUUCAACACAAGCAAGAAGAAGCGAUCAACUCCAACAUGACAACGCGUUCUCCUUCUCACGGCCUUGAGUUCAUCCAUUAUUCUGAUUCAAGAAUUCGAGAAUUCGCGGUGUUCCGCAAUGUUCCGUUCUAAACCAUAAGCAAACGGAAAGAAAAAGGCAUUAAGAUCGAAUCGGGAAAACUCACCAGAUUUAAGCUUGGAUUGCGGCACACUUUGGUCACUACGUGUGAUGGCGUUACCGCGUCGCCGAUGGAGACGAUGAAGACGCUUUCGGAUUCGUCUGGCUUCCACGCUCCGAUAGGAAUUCGUAUGGUGCCUUAUUGAAUUGAAUCGCGGUGUGCAGGUUGAAGCGGUUGAUACGGUUGAAGCGGAGCGGUAGUGAAGGUUUGUUAGCGAUGGGAAAGGAAUGGUUCAAUUUGCAGAAAGAGGGGGAAGAAGAAAAUGGUGAAGGUUGGUAGAAGUGGAAGAUUCAAGAAAAAAAUGUUUGUUAGCUUGUGAUUCUGAAAGAAAGAAAAAAUGGCAGAAGAACUUCAAUGUGAGCUCAUGGAUUUUAUAGAGAAUUAUGUUUUGCAAUGUAAGCUUGAAUUUCGUUUUGCUUUGCGUUUUGGAUUUCCGUUAUUUGCAUUUUGUUGCAACGCGUUCUGAAUUGCUGUUGUUGCCGUUUAUUUGCAUUGCAAGAUGCGUUUUGAAAUGUUGCGCAUUACCGUUUUGGUUCAGUUUGGAUUGUGCUUAGGCUUCACGGCUUGGCUUGCGUUCGAGACUUCUAGUGCAUUCUUUUGUAGCUCUUGUACGUUCUUUUUCACUAUAGCUUGUUGUUCUUUUUCACUGUAGCUUGUUGAUGGUAGCCUUUCAAUUCGUCACCUCGCUUUUCCCUUUGCCGCUUCCGCCUCCUUUUUGUCAUGAUGGGCUUUAGAUAAAUGUGCUUAAGUAAAUUGGGAUGGGUUGAGAAUAUGGGUUAUGGACAUUGGAUUUUUAGAUGGUUGGAUAAUGGGUUGUAAAUGGGAUUAUGAGAUUUUUGAUUUUUUUGGUUUAAAAAUUGGAAAAUGGAUGAAACGGAUAUGGAUAUGGAUUAGAAACUAAUUGAAUAUUUGGUUUUUCAUGGAUGUAAAGAUUGAUUUUGGUAAUCGAAUCGAUGAAUUAAAACCGGCAUAUGGAUUUGAAAUUACUUAA